GAUGAACGCUGGCGGCGUGCUUAACACAUGCAAGUCGAACGAUGAAGCCCAGCUUGCUGGGUGGUUUAGUGGCGAACGGGUGAGUAACACGUGAGUAACCUGCCCUUGACUCUGGGAUAAGCCUGUGAAACUGGGUCUAAUACUUGAUAUGACUUCUCAUCGCAUGGUGGGGGGUGGAAAGAUUUAUUGGUCUUGGAUGGACUCGAGGCCUAUCAGCUUGUUGGUGGGGUAAUGGCUCACCAAGGCCACGACGGGUAGCCGGCCUGUGAGGGUGACCGGCGACACUGGGACUGAGACACGGACCAGACGCCUACGGGAGGCAGCAGUGGGGAAUAUUGCAGAAUGGGCGCAAGCCUGAUGCAGAGACGCCGCGUGAGGGAUGACGGCCUUCGGGGUGUAAACCUCUUUCAGUAGGGAAGAAGCGAGAGUGACGGUACCUGCAGAAGAAGCGCCGGCUAACUACGUG
rnacentral:rRNA from 1 species